rnacentral:rRNA from 1 species
UACAGAGGGUGCAAGCGUUAAUCGGAUUUACUGGGGCGUAAAGCGCGCGUAGGCGGCUAAUUAAGUCAAAUGUGAAAUCCCCGAGCUUAACUUGGGAAUUGCAUUCGAUACUGGUUAGCUAGAGUGUGGGAGAGGAUGGUAGAAUUCCAGGUGUAGCGGUGAAAUGCGUAGAGAUCUGGAGGAAUACCGAUGGCGAAGGCAGCCAUCUGGCCUAACACUUGACGCUGAGGUGCGAAAGCAUGGGGAGCAAACAGG